CCCGGCAAUAGAAAUAGAGGCGUGUUCUUCCCUGUGCCUUGUUCCCCCUCUCUCUGUUCCUUUGCGUUGCAAGCAGGCUGAAAGCUUGGUGUGAUGUGUUUUGAUCUCUGCUGCCAGGGGCCUUAGGGCAUUGCCAGCGAUCUACAACGUGGCGACAUGAAUGCAGUGACUUAUGAGGACGUGCAUGUGAACUUCACUCAAGAGGAGUGGGCUCUGCUGGAUCCUUCUCAGAAGAAGCUCUACAAAGAUGUCAUGCUGGAGACCUUCAGGAACCUCAAUGCUAUAGGCUUUAAUUGGGAAGCCCAAAAUAUUGAAGAAUAUUGUCAAAGUUCUAGAAGACACAGAAGGUAAUUUUCAUGUGCAAGCUCAUACAAAUCUGCCUCUAAAGAUAUGUUAAUGUGUGCUGAAAAUUGAUAAGAAAAGGAGCAGUGUAGAUUAGCACAGCUUUAAGUGUAUUGAUGAGUGUUACAUUCCAACAAAACCAUCACCUUUAAUGUCCUGUAUCUGAUUUUUUGUAAG
rnacentral:lncRNA from 1 species